UGGGGAAUAUUGGUCAAUGGACGAAAGUCUGAACCAGCCAUGCCGCGUGGAGGAUGAAGGCCCUCUGGGUUGUAAACUUCUUUUAUAGGGGACGAAAAAGGGUCUUUCUAGAUCAACUGACGGUACCCUAGGAAUAAGCACCGGCUAACUCCGUGCCAGCAGCCGCGGUAAUACGGAGGGUGCAAGCGUUAUCCGGAUUCACUGGGUUUAAAGGGUGCGUAGGUGGGUUAGUAAGUCAGUGGUGAAAUCUUCGAGCUUAACUCGGAAACUGCCAUUGAUACUAUUAGUCUUGAAUAUUGUGGAGGUUAGCGGAAUAUGUCAUGUAGCGGUGAAAUGCUUAGAUAUGACAUAGAACACCAAUUGCGAAGGCAGCUGGCUACACAUAUAUUGACACUGAGGCACGAAAGCGUGGGGAUCAAACA
rnacentral:rRNA from 1 species